rnacentral:rRNA from 1 species
UAGGGAAUCUUCGGCAAUGGGAGCAACCCUGACCGAGCAACGCCGCGUGAGUGAAGAAGGUUUUCGGAUCGUAAAGCUCUGUUGUAAGAGAAGAACGUGUGUGAGAGUGGAAAGUUCACACAGUGACGGUAACUUACCAGAAAGGGACGGCUAACUACGUGCCAA